AUAAUGAUACUUCUGUCCAGCCACAGCUUAUCGCAAUGGGGGCAGCUCGCAGAGAACCUGGGAGAGGUUAGCUACCUAUGA
rfam:Bacillus sp. FJAT-26390 scaffold4, whole genome shotgun sequence.